CGGACGGGUGAGUAACGCGUGAGCAACCUGCCUUUCAGAGGGGGAUAACGUUUGGAAACGAACGCUAAUACCGCAUGAGACUACGGUACUACAUGGUACAGUGGCCAAAGGAGCAAUCCGCUGAAAGAUGGGCUCGCGUCCGAUUAGAUAGUUGGCGGGGUAACGGCCCACCAAGUCGACGAUCGGUAGCCGGACUGAGAGGUUGAACGGCCACAUUGGGACUGAGACACGGCCCAG
rnacentral:rRNA from 1 species